UACGGAAGGCAGCAGUAGGGAAUAUUGGGCAAUGGGCGAGAGCCUGACCCAGCCAUGCCGCGUGCAGGAAGAAGGCUUUCUGAGUCGUAAACUGCUUUUGACAGGGAAGAAUAAGCUGAACGUGUUCAGUGAUGACGGUACCUGCAGAAUAAGCACCGGCUAACUCCGUGCCAGCAGCCGCGGUAAUACGGAGGGUGCGAGCGUUGUCCGGAUUUAUUGGGUUUAAAGGGUGCGUAGGCGGCCUUGUAAGUCCGGGGUGAAGCCCGUUGCUCAACACGGAACUGCCCUGGAUACUGUGAGGCUUGAGUACAGACGAGGUUGGCGGAAUGGACCGAGUAGCGGUGAAAUGCAUAGAUACGGUCCAGAACCCCGAUUGCGAAGGCAGCUGACUAGGCUGUUACUGACGCUGAGGGCACGACAGCGUGGGGAGCGAACAGGGAUUAGGAAUAACCCGGU
rnacentral:rRNA from 1 species